UUUUUUCAUUAACCUUAUAAGAUAUCGACAAUUUUUUUUUACUAAAUUGUUAGUUGCGACAUGUCGUAACUUAUAAAUUUUGGUUGCGAGGGUGCGUAAACAAUAAAAGGGAGUUUUCGCCCCUCUUAUAUUAAGAAUUAUGCGUAAAGUGAUUUUACUCAUGAACCAUACAUAUUAAGGAACUAGUGUCUUUUUAUUUGAGAUGUUUAGUCUAUGACCUUGAAAUUGAGGUCAAGGUCAUAGGUUAAUUGGACGUUCUAGAUUUUGACCUUUGCUUAAAAUUCAUAUUUAUACAUCAUUAAGCCAUAGGAACUGACAUUUUCAACUGAAUUUUAAUAUUUUCAUAUCUAAAUAGAUCCUUAUUGGUUGAAAGACCUUCAAUUGUUCUCUGAACAAUUGGUUUUUAAUUAGGUCUUUCAACCUUUUCUGUUGAAAGACCUAUUGUAUUUGUUCUGAUUAUUAUUAUUAGGUCUUUCAACCUUUCAGUUGAAAGACCUAUAGGGUUUGUUCUGAUUAUUAUUAUUAUUUUUUUUUUUUUUUUUCUUCCGCCAACUUUUUUUCCUUCGCUGUUUUUUUGUUUCACAAGAUGUCGCUUAGAUAUAAGGUAAAUGAUAUCGAACAGUUAAUACGCUUCUGAAACUGACACCGCGUAACAAAAAACUUUACCUUGUAAGAGUUAUCUCCCCGAACACUGUUUUUCUUGUGGCCACUACUCCUUCGCAACCGUAUAAGAAACCGACAAAUUUAUUUUCCAAAUUUGCUCGUUAUAUCCUUAGGAUGUUCUGUUUCAUUUCAACCGAAGCUAUCCGGAGACUCCAUAUGAGAGUUAUCCCCCCUUUUAUAUAUGAUAUCAGUGAUAUGCAUUUCUAACUGGUAAACUAUAAGUGAUAGAGACCUAGGGUCUUUUGAUUUAAGAUCCUUGGUCCAAAAAAAUGAAAAUUAGGUCAAGGUCAAAGGUCAAGGUCAAAUUCUAAAUUUUGAUUUUGGCUUAUUUUCACCUUUUUUCAUUAACCUUAUAAGAUAUCGACAAUUUUU
rnacentral:lncRNA from 1 species